rnacentral:lncRNA from 1 species
CUGAAAUUGCAUUUUAAUAAGGAGUCUUGACCUGUACUUUGUAUUUCCCUUCAAGGCUCUACAAGCCAUUUUUCUUAUGGAGGUCCUGACCUGAGAAGCUCAACCUGGAUAACCACAGCCAGAGGGGGAUAAAAUGCAACACCUAGGAGAUUUCAGUAAACAGUAAAACCAUUCCAACUUAAUCUGUGUUAAAAUGCUAGGAAUGUGAGAGCCACCGAUGAUGCCCCUUGUCUGUGUGUCUGACUGAAUCCUUUAUUUUCUGGGAGGAAAGCAGAGCCUGGGAACUAGGCCAGAUGCCUGCCACUUACCUUAAAUUGAUCAGCCACUUUAAGAUUAAAAACACUGAAAACUGCAACUCCAUGAAAACAAGGCUUCCUUCACAUUAAAUGCAAAAUGCAACAUUGGGCUUGCUGUGAUCUCUUUUUCCAUUUUGCUCAGUGUGCAGUUUUUCCAUUUCUGCUCAAAGGUCAGAGCAAGCAGAAAAGACACGUGACUUUCUGGCCUUGGAUGUCUUAGAAGCUGUAAGAUGCUGGCCCUCCAAUGAGUUGACUUAAUUAGGGGGAGUUCAGCCAGCUAAAGGAGGCCAAACGUAAAACAGAAAAAUAUACUCCCAUGGAGGCAGAUUAGGUUGGUUAAAAGGAGAAAAGCUUAUGUUAGUUUACACAACCUAAUGUUCAAGAGUGUCUGAUUUUAGAUUUGUCUCUACAUGUUUCUGCUUUUGUGGGAACCUCUGAAGUCACUGAGCACUAUGGCCAUGGCACAGGAAGACAGACAGUUCUAAGGCCUGGAGGUUUCCACUCAUAAGUACACAGCUACCUGGAAGGCAAAGGAGCAGAGACAUCUCUCCCCUGAACCUUGGAGAAUUAUUUUGGUGCCUUCUUUCCACCUACAUGGAAGAAGUCAAAAGCUAAAGAAAGCAACCAUUGCUCCAAAGAAUUUAUAGGAGAAACUUAAAUUUCGUUUUUGAAAAUGCAGCCAGUAAACUUGGAGACCUCUUUCUGUUUUCCACCAAGAUAAUACAUAAACACACUUGCGGAUUUAUAAGCUACAUAGAAUGCCUCUAGUGAGAAAGUGUAACCUCAAAGACAGAAGGCAAUAAAGAAUAUGUACCUCAGUGUACA